rnacentral:rRNA from 1 species
CUGAGUACGGCGGAACACGUGAAAUUCCGUCGGAAUCCGGGAGGACCAUCUCCCAAGGCUAAAUACUCCCUAGUGACCGAUAGUGAACCAGUACCGUGAGGGAAAGGUGAAAAGCACCCCGGAAGGGGAGUGAAACAGUUCCUGAAACCGUGUGCCUACAAGUAGUUAGAGCCCGUUAAUGGGUGAUAGCGUGCCUUUUGUAGAAUGAACCGGCGAGUUACGAUUUGUUGCAAGGUUAAGCGGAAAAAGCGGAGCCGUAGCGAAAGCGAGUCUGAAUAGGGCGCAUAAGUAACAGGUCGUAGACCCGAAACCAGGUGAUCUACCCAUGUCCAGGAUGAAGGUAAGGUAAUACUUACUGGAGGUCCGAACCCACGCACGUUGAAAAGUGCGGGGAUGAGGUGUGGGUAGCGGAGAAAUUCCAAUCGAACUUGGAGAUAGCUGGUUCUCUCCGAAAUAGCUUUAGGGCUAGCCUCGAGGUAAAGAGUCAUGGAGGUAGAGCACUGUUUGGACUAGGGGCC